UAUCCGGAUUUAUUGGGCGUAAAGGGCUCGUAGGCGGCUCGUCGCGUCCGGUGUGAAAGUCCAUCGCUUAACGGUGGAUCUGCGCCGGGUACGGGCGGGCUGGAGUGCGGUAGGGGAGACUGGAAUUCCCGGUGUAACGGUGGAAUGUGUAGAUAUCGGGAAGAACACCGAUGGCGAAGGCAGGUCUCUGGGCCGUCACUGACGCUGAGGAGCGAAAGCGUGGGGAGCGAACAGGAUUAGAUACCCUGGUAGUCCACGCCGUAAACGGUGGACGCUGGAUGUGGGGCACGUUCCACGUGUUCCGUGUCGGAGCUAACGCGUUAAGCGUCCCGCCUGGGGAGUACGGCCGCAAGGCUAAAACUCAAAGAAAUUGACGGGGGCCCGCACAAGCGGCGGAGCAUGCGGAUUAAUUCGAUGCAACGCCAAGAACCUUACCUGGGCUUGACAUGUUCCCGAC
rnacentral:rRNA from 1 species